rnacentral:rRNA from 2 species
CUCUCUUUGUUGAGUAUUAUAUAAAGAGUUGGGCCUGCUCGGUGAACAUAUAGUUUUAACAGCUGCGGUAUUUUAACUGUACUAAGGUAGCAUAAUAAUUUGCCUUAUAAUUUGAGGCUAGAAUGAAUGGUUUGACGAAGGUUAAUCUGUCUCUACUUUAUUUUUUAGAAUUUAAUUUUAAAGUGAGAAAGCUUUAAUUUUUUAAAGGGACGAGAAGACCCUAUUGAGCUUAUAAUUUUAUUUUUAUUGUAAAUGUUUAUUUUUAUAAUAUUAUAUAAAUUUUAGUUGGGGUGAUUAAGGAAUAAAGUGGUAUGUAACUUCCUUAGUAUAAGUGUUGUUAGAUAAAGUAACCAAUAUUUUAUUGCUUUUAUUAUAGUUACCAUAGGGAUAACAGCGUAAUUUAUUUAGAGAGUUCUUAUUGAAAAAUGGGAUUGCGACCUCGAUGUUGGAUUAAAGUGACCUUAAGGUGAAGAAGCUUUAAUAUAGGUAAAUCUGUUCGAUUUUUAAAACUUUACA